rnacentral:rRNA from 1 species
UACGUAGGGUGCAAGCGUUGUCCGGAAUUAUUGGGCGUAAAGAGCUCGUAGGCGGCUUGUCACGUCGGAUGUGAAAGCCCGAGGCUUAACCUCGGGUCUGCAUUCGAUACGGGCUAGCUAGAGUGUGGUAGGGGAGAUCGGAAUUCCUGGUGUAGCGGUGAAAUGCGCAGAUAUCAGGAGGAACACCGGUGGCGAAGGCGGAUCUCUGGGCCGUAACUGACGCUGAGGAGCGAAAGCAUGGGGGAGCGAACAGG